GUCCCCUUGGUCUUCACAGACUGCUGCACUGGGCAAAAUAGUAUGGGGAGGAGAUGCCUCCAAUGACCAUGUUGUACCUUGUACCUAAGAUGUGAAGAGGCUCUUCCACUUCUCUCCAAGCCCUUCUCUAACAGGAAACAAUAAAAUCAUACUCUCAGAAUGA